CUAAUUUGAUCUAAUCAUAAUGAAUUUACUUGCCAUAUAAUAACAUGGCCAGAAGUACAAAGGAACAGAGAAAUCAUCAGAAAAGCACAAAUUUAUUAAUUUAAAUUUCUUUAUAUAAUAUAUGCCCGAGGAAGGAAGCCUUUUAGUUUAGGACACUGCAAAUUGUAGGAUAUGCUAUAUAUAGACCAAUUAAUUUAUUUAGAUACAGGCAAUAUGCAAAGGGUAAGUAAAAGUAAGGAUGGCAUGAGUUUCAGAAUCCACCGCCUCGCGCGCCAGCACCUUCGCUUCCUCUUCCGUUAUAAACUAGCAGGUAUAGCAAGGGUAUGUUGGUGGAUAUUCUUGAUCAGUUUGGCCCCCUCCAAAUUUGGCAGCUUCUAGCUCAGCCUUUGUUUUUUGGGUAGCCGCCUUACCUGCAAAACUCGCAGCAUUAUCAACAUUCAUGUUAGGAUACAUUUCAAUUCAUGAAAUAUAAAUGAGAGGAGAUGAUAACUAAUUAAUUAAUUAAAAAGCCAUGUUGGCUGCUGACCGUUGUUUGUUUCAGUAAGGUCUCUAGCUGCCACUUCCGAAGAAAUGGAAAGAACAAUCACAGAUAAAACAGCAAGGAUGAGAAAACUCUUGCAAACCGAACCCAUUUUUGAUUUUUGUUUUUUAAAUCAAAGUGAACAAUCCUGGAUAAAAGUGUUUGGAGAGUUAAGAAUGCUUAAACAAAGGCAAUCUACGUCUCUAUUUAUACGCCCCAAUCAUCAACUUAUAUGCAUAGAUAAGAAAAUGUGUGAGCGUAAUUAAACAUAAAGAUUUGCCUGUCGACCACGCAAUGCAGCUGGCAGUUGAAGAGUCGCCAAACUAUUCAACUUGGACUUUGGAAAGUGAUUGGACCAAAAAGUGGAAGUAGCAAAGUUUAUGCCUCUCACUAACGUAACUCUACAUGAAUAUUAUUAAAUCACGAUUUGUGAUGGAUGUGGAAAUGCUCUCAUCUGAAAUUGCUAGUCACAAAACCGGUGAACCUCUAACAUCCGGGAUAGGCUACCAAGAAAAUGAGAUUGAGGGAGGAUGAUCCGCCAAAAACCGUGGUGGUUUAUGAUGGACCUCGUAUGUCCUUUCAACAUAAACUAGUGAAUGGAGAGAUAUAUGUUCUCGCAGGUUUCGAGCAUGGUAUCUGACUGUUGGAGGACGAUAUCAAAAAAAGAUACUAUGAAGGGUGUCCCAUUGAUACGAUUCUCGGAUCGCCUCCACUUCUUGAUAGAAAAAAAAGUGUGAUCAAGACGGUGAUUUUUUUUAAAAAAAAUUGUCACAAAAUAGGUUUUAAUGCUCUUUAAAAUAAUACUUUCGUCUGAUGGAAGCCAUCCUUUAACUUUCAAUUAAUGAAUUUGGAGAACAACUACAUGGCAAAAUUUGCUCCGAUUGAGGAUUAUAAAGUGCUUGCAGGCGGGCUGUGAGUAAUAUUUGAGUAUUGUAUGACGGUUCAGACAUCAUAGUUUCCCGUAUCUAAAGACCGGUGGAAUGGAGAGAUCUACAAGACUUAGGUAACUCAAUAUUAAAUCAUGAUUUGUGUAUUUGUAUACUACUUAUAUAUUUUAUCAUAGGUUAAAUACGCUUUUUAAGUCCUUAUGCUUUUAUUUUGUGGAAUAUAAUUCCUCAUUUUUUUAUUUUAAAAAAUUUAGUCUAUUUAUUUUUUAAAUUUAAAAAUGUAAAUUCAGCCGUUAAUAAUGUUAAGAAUUUUUUAUUAAAUUUAAGUUUUUUAUAAAGUUAUUUUUUAUUGUAUGACUAUUAAUUUUAUUCUAUUUUAAAAUAUUACACGAACAAAUUUAAUAAAAACAAUUUAAUAAAAUUAACAAUUUAAUCCGAAAUUUUUUAAAAAAUAGAAACUAAAAGUAUUUUGAAAACUUGGUGGAUGGAAUGGAAAAAGGAGAAACAGAAAGAAUAUAAUUUUAAGAGCUCCUUGGUACAAUAAAAAAUGGAAUGAAAGAAAAUGAAAGGGAUGAGACUUCUUUCGCACCAUUUGUCCAAAUUGAGGGAAAGAAAAGUUUUAAAUUAUGUGAUUUUAAGUAUAACAUAUAAAAUUGCUCUCGAUUAAAGUAAAAUACCUAAUUUAAUGGGAGGGAUUCACUAAUAUUUAGGGUAAAAUUUAGGUAGUUUUACAUUAUAUAUUUAUAUUUUUUUUUAUGAUUAGUAUUUUAGUAAUUUAAUUAUUGAACUUAUCAAUACAAUAAUAUUUGUCAUACAUGUAAAAUUUUUAAUUAAUCUGAUAUCUCUAUCAUAUCGAUCUAAAAUAUUAUCUAUAUCUAUAUAUUUAAUGGUAGAAAGUUUUUGACAUAAAAUAAAUAACUAGAAAAUUUUAAAUUUGCCAAACUUGUCAUGCAUGAUUUACAUGAAUUGAACAUGAAAUACAACGGUUGAAUUAUUAAAGUAGUGAUCAUAUAAAAAUUACAAAAAUAUAUAAAACCACUUAAAUUUUACACCUAUUUAAAUUGCUAAUUACAAAACUUGGUAUUUCACUUGGAUGUGAUGGCUCUUGAAAAUUUACUAAUUUUUAUAUUUAGUGAAAUACAACCAACAUUUGAAAUUUGUAUCAUAUUUAAAAUUUUGAAAUUGAAAAUUAUAAUAAAUUAAUAAUACUAAUCUGCAUUCUCAUGCCAUUCAUAGAUUUAAUUGUUUAUAUAACUACUUUUUUUUUUUGGUUUAGUCAAUUGAUUACAAGAUAAGGCAUUGGGAUCAACCAACCCAACCAGUUCAACAAGUAAAACAACAAUAGCGAAACAAUGCCAAAACAUGAAAGAGUACAACAAUAAUCCCCCAACAAUGAAACCAAAAUGCUCCACACAAAAUUAACAACGAGAAACCAACAAAAAAUGAAUCCACCAUUGCACCAAUUGCUUGACAUGUGAUUUCGAUUAGUACCUUAGCCACAACCAAAAAUUACCUCCCAAAAACAAGAACAAGCUCCCAAAAUGACCACAAUUGAAUGCGACAAACAAGCAACCAAUCNNNNNNNNNNNNNNNNNNNNNNNNNNNNNNNNNNNNNNNNNNNNNNNNNNNNNNNNNNNNNNNNNNNNNNNNNNNNNNNNNNNNNNNNNNNNNNNNNNNNNNNNNNNNNNNNNNNNNNNNNNNNNNNNNNNNNNNNNNNNNNNNNNNNNNNNNNNNNNNNNNNNNNNNNNNNNNNNNNNNNNNNNNNNNNNNNNNNNNNNNNNNNNNNNNNNNNNNNNNNNNNNNNNNNNNNNNNNNNNNNNNNNNNNNNNNNNNNNNNNNNNNNNNNNNNNNNNNNNNNNNNNNNNNNNNNNNNNNNNNNNNNNNNNNNNNNNNNNNNNNNNNNNNNNNNNNNNNNNNNNNNNNNNNNNNNNNNNNNNNNNNNNNNNNNNNNNNNNNNNNNNNNNNNNNNNNNNNNNNNNNNNNNNNNNNNNNNNNNNNNNNNNNNNNNNNNNNNNNNNNNNNNNNNNNNNNNNNNNNNNNNNNNNNNNNNNNNNNNNNNNNNNNNNNNNNNNNNNNNNCAGACUCCGGCCCUCGCAAACCAGGCUCCGCCCACGCGCCACGCGCCGCCCUAAGGGCCACCGUAUUCAGAGAUCGAAGAGUUCGAAAAACUCUCGUCUCUUCAGAUCCAAAAACAGGUAGUUCUUUUCCUUCAAAAUACCCUUACUAUUUGCUAACAGUUCAUAUAUGUGCUAAAAAAUAAAGAAUAAGUCACUCGGUUAUCACCUUGAAACUGUUUGUUCUUUUUUUUAUUUCUAUAUUCCUGUUUGUAUAGAGGGUUACAAAGGGCUUUUUAUAGCCAUGUUUAUUACAAAAACUGGGAAAGAAAUCGAAAAUUUCUUUCUAUUUCUUGCUCACUGUGUCUUUGACCGUGAUCUGUUGAGAUUUUUAGUUUCCUUUUCUUGCUCUAUGUAUCUGCUGUGUUUCCUUUUCUUGCAGGUAUCCCGAUGAUCUCGGCGUUAACGACGGUACCAAGGCUAGAGGGGAAGCCUGAGAUCACGGUGCUGGACGGACGCCUUGAUGGCGCGUCAGUGUGCAUUGAUGGCCUCGAUCUGGGGAGUUGCACCGACGCUCCCCGAAGCUUCCAGAAGCUGUUGCGGCGCGAGGGGAAAGAGCUAGGGUUGAAAACCCUAGCUGAUAAUUUUGGGUUUUUUGGGCCUCUGUUAUUUGGGUCUUAGUUUAGGUUUGGGCUUCGAGUGUAUUUGGGCUAAGGUUGUAAUUGUAAUGGGUAUGGGUUAACGAGUCAAUGUAAAUGGACUUUUAUAUGGACAAUUAUUUAUUUAUUUAAUGGGUUUUACAGCCCGGUCAAAUUUGGGCUACUACAACCGGUUGAGACAACUAAUUGGAACAACCAACAAACAUAUGAUUUUUUUUUCAAAAUGUUUAAAGUUUUUAUAGUUUUGCAAAUGAAAUUUCUUAAUUGGAAUUCAACUAUAAAUAAGAAGACAUAAAAUUUAUAAAAUUGUUUAGUAUUAAAUGUUUUUUUGCACAACUCACGCACCGCUAAUAAAAGAAAAUCACCGCCACAUAUGCAUGCAUCCGUGAUAGGCAAUCACUGUGAUUCCAACCCACAAUGUGGAUAUAGGGUGAUUGCCCUUGGCUAAUAAACUAAAUAUUAGGGUUCGGUUAAUUAGUAAAUGCUAAUUCUAUUAAAAUUUAAAUUCUUUAAUUUUUAAUAUUAUAUAAAUUAAAUUUAUUUAUUUAAUAUUUAGACUAAUUUGAUCUAAUCAUAAUGAAUUUACUUGCCAUAUAAUAACAUGGCCAGAAGUACAAAGGAACAGAGAAAUCAUCAGAAAAGCACAAUUUAUUAAUUUAAAUUUCUUUAUAUAAUAUAUGCCCGAGGAAGGAAGCCUUUUAGUUUAGGACACUGCAAAUUGUAGGAUAUGCUAUAUAUAGACCAAUUAAUUUAUUUAGAUACAGGCAAUAUGCAAAGGGUAAGUAAAAGUAAGGAUGGCAUGAGUUUCAGAAUCCACCGCCUCGCGCGCCAGCACCUUCGCUUCCUCUUCCGUUAUAAACUAGCAGGUAUAGCAAGGGUAUGUUGGUGGAUAUUCUUGAUCAGUUUGGCCCCCUCCAAAUUUGGCAGCUUCUAGCUCAGCCUUUGUUUUUUGGGUAGCCGCCUUACCUGCAAAACUCGCAGCAUUAUCAACAUUCAUGUUAGGAUACAUUUCAAUUCAUGAAAUAUAAAUGAGAGGAGAUGAUAACUAAUUAAUUAAUUAAAAAGCCAUGUUGGCUGCUGACCGUUGUUUGUUUCAGUAAGGUCUCUAGCUGCCACUUCCGAAGAAAUGGAAAGAACAAUCACAGAUAAAACAGCAAGGAUGAGAAAACUCUUGCAAACCGAACCCAUUUUUGAUUUUUGUUUUUUAAAUCAAAGUGAACAAUCCUGGAUAAAAGUGUUUGGAGAGUUAAGAAUGCUUAAACAAAGGCAAUCUACGUCUCUAUUUAUACGCCCCAAUCAUCAACUUAUAUGCAUAGAUAAGAAAAUGUGUGAGCGUAAUUAAACAUAAAGAUUUGCCUGUCGACCACGCAAUGCAGCUGGCAGUUGAAGAGUCGCCAAACUAUUCAACUUGGACUUUGGAAAGUGAUUGGACCAAAAAGUGGAAGUAGCAAAGUUUAUGCCUCUCACUAACGUAACUCUACAUGAAUAUUAUUAAAUCACGAUUUGUGAUGGAUGUGGAAAUGCUCUCAUCUGAAAUUGCUAGUCACAAAACCGGUGAACCUCUAACAUCCGGGAUAGGCUACCAAGAAAAUGAGAUUGAGGGAGGAUGAUCCGCCAAAAACCGUGGUGGUUUAUGAUGGACCUCGUAUGUCCUUUCAACAUAAACUAGUGAAUGGAGAGAUAUAUGUUCUCGCAGGUUUCGAGCAUGGUAUCUGACUGUUGGAGGACGAUAUCAAAAAAAAGAUACUAUGAAGGGUGUCCCAUUGAUACGAUUCUCGGAUCGCCUCCACUUCUUGAUAGAAAAAAAAGUGUGAUCAAGACGGUGAUUUUUUUUAAAAAAAAUUGUCACAAAAUAGGUUUUAAUGCUCUUUAAAAUAAUACUUUCGUCUGAUGGAAGCCAUCCUUUAACUUUCAAUUAAUGAAUUUGGAGAACAACUACAUGGCAAAAUUUGCUCCGAUUGAGGAUUAUAAAGUGCUUGCAGGCGGGCUGUGAGUAAUAUUUGAGUAUUGUAUGACGGUUCAGACAUCAUAGUUUCCCGUAUCUAAAGACCGGUGGAAUGGAGAGAUCUACAAGACUUAGGUAACUCAAUAUUAAAUCAUGAUUUGUGUAUUUGUAUACUACUUAUAUAUUUUAUCAUAGGUUAAAUACGCUUUUUAAGUCCUUAUGCUUUUAUUUUGUGGAAUAUAAUUCCUCAUUUUUUUAUUUUAAAAAAUUUAGUCUAUUUAUUUUUUAAAUUUAAAAAUGUAAAUUCAGCCGUUAAUAAUGUUAAGAAUUUUUUAUUAAAUUUAAGUUUUUUAUAAAGUUAUUUUUUAUUGUAUGACUAUUAAUUUUAUUCUAUUUUAAAAUAUUACACGAACAAAUUUAAUAAAAACAAUUUAAUAAAAUUAACAAUUUAAUCCGAAAUUUUUUAAAAAAUAGAAACUAAAAGUAUUUUGAAAACUUGGUGGAUGGAAUGGAAAAAGGAGAAACAGAAAGAAUAUAAUUUUAAGAGCUCCUUGGUACAAUAAAAAAUGGAAUGAAAGAAAAUGAAAGGGAUGAGACUUCUUUCGCACCAUUUGUCCAAAUUGAGGGAAAGAAAAGUUUAAAUUAUGUGAUUUUAAGUAUAAACAUAUAAAAUUGCUCUCGAUUAAAGUAAAAUACCUAAUUUAAUGGGAGGGAUUCACUAAUAUUUAGGGUAAAAUUUAGGUAGUUUUACAUUAUAUAUUUAUAUUUUUUUUAUGAUUAGUAUUUUAGUAAUUUAAUUAUUGAACUUAUCAAUACAAUAAUAUUUGUCAUACAUGUAAAAUUUUUAAUUAAUCUGAUAUCUCUAUCAUAUCGAUCUAAAAUAUUAUCUAUAUCUAUAUAUUUAAUGGUAGAAAGUUUUUGACAUAAAAUAAAUAACUAGAAAAUUUUAAAUUUUGCCAAACUUGUCAUGCAUGAUUUACAUGAAUUGAACAUGAAAUACAACGGUUGAAUUAUUAAAGUAUUGAUCAUAUAAAAAAUUACAAAAAUAUAUAAAACCACUUAAAUUUUACACCUAUUUAAAUUGCUAAUUACAAAACUUGGUAUUUCACUUGGAUGUGAUGGCUCUUGAAAAUUUACUAAUUUUUAUAUUUAGUGAAAUACAACCAACAUUUGAAAUUUGUAUCAUAUUUAAAAUUUUGAAAUUGAAAAUUAUAAUAAAUUAAUAAUACUAAUCUGCAUUCUCAUGCCAUUCAUAGAUUUAAUUGUUUAUAUAACUACUUUUUUUUUUUGGUUUAGUCAAUUGAUUACAAGAUAAGGCAUUGGGAUCAACCAACCCAACCAGUUCAACAAGUAAAACAACAAUAGCGAAACAAUGCCAAAACAUGAAAGAGUACAACAAUAAUCCCCCAACAAUGAAACCAAAAUGCUCCACACAAAAUUAACAACGAGAAACCAACAAAAAAUGAAUCCACCAUUGCACCAAUUGCUUGACAUGUGAUUUCGAUUAGUACCUUAGCCACAACCAAAAAUUACCUCCCAAAAACAAGAACAACUCCCAAAAUGACCACAAUUGAAUGCGACAAACAAGCAACCAAUCUGACACAUUGAUUGAAUUGCAACCCAUUGUUAUUAAAACCUACUCCUUCCAAAUCAACACCUAACCCAUCACUGCAACCUCAUUACUUACCACAAUGAUCGCCCAAUCUUUGACCUCACCUGCACAAUAACCAGAUAAUAAAACCAGAAAACAACCCCAGCAGAAUAAAAAAGAACCCAACCCAGCCCAACCCAGACAAACCCAACCCCUCCUCCAUCCACGUAACAAUUCACCAUUCUUACAAUUCUAAUUACUCCAACUCAUACCUCGAAAGCAAAACCAACACACAAUGAACAUAAAAAUAACCGUGAGCAGUAAGCAAACCAAAAAAAUAUACAGAAAUCCUACUCCAAUUUAGACAACUGUUAACAUUAAUGGGAGACAACAUUAAUGGCAAACAAUACAAAGUGGUGCAAGUUUAGCACCCUAAAGUUGACUUUGAAAAAGUGGCAUGGGAUAAUUUUUUUUUGGUCCUUGAGAUAAUGGGCUAUUUAUUGUUUGGUCCUUAAACCUCAACUAUAAAUAGGCCUUCUCAUUUCUCAUUUCAAUUCAUCCCAACCAAUCUUUCUCUCUUAGUUUUCUCUCUUCUCCCAUUUGAGAAUUCUUAAGGAAUUCUAUUUGUUUGUAAUACUUUGGAGAUAGUAAAGUUAUCAUCUGGUGUUAGUGCCCGAGGACGUAGGUAUAAUUUACCGAACCUCGUUAAAUCUCUUGUGUUCUUUCUUGUCCUAUUUUUGUUUCAAUAUUUGAGGGUAUAAUAGUAGUAUUUAAUUGUGCUAUUAAAUUAUUAUAGAAGGGAUAUUCUGUCUAAGGAAAGACUUGGUAUUUAAGAGAUCUAUGUGAUCCACCUCUCUUCCCUGGGAAUUGAACUUUGUGUGAUUUUUUAGUACAAUAAUUUACACGCUUCUGACUCUAUUGAACAACAAGUGGUAUCAAGAGCCGAAGGUUAAUCGUAGUAUGCUCUGUGGUUGCAGUUUAAACUGAUCUUCCACAUCAGAAAAGAUUUCCUUAGGUAUAUUGAAAGAUUAUGGAGAAAACGGUCGGUGUAGGAGCUUCAACAUCGUCUAUAUGGAUAAGACCGACAAUUGCAAAUGCAAGAUUGGCCGUGGAGAUCUUUGAUGGCACGGGCCAUUUUGGUAUGUGGCAAAGUGAGGUUCUAGAUGCCCUUUUUCAGCAGGGUCUAGACAUUGCCAUUGAUGAAGAGAAACCAGAUGAUGUACAGGAGAAAGAUUAGAAGGCGAUCAAUCGGUUGGCAUGUGGCACAAUUCGAUCAUGCCUUUCUCGAGAGCAGAGGUAUGCUUUUUCAAAGGAGACUUCUGCAAAUAAGUUGUAGGUGGCACUUGAAGAAAAUUUUUUGAAGAAAAACAGUCAAAAUAAGCUCCACUUGAAGAAAAGACUGUUUCGCUUCACUUACGUCCCAAGUACCACAGUGAAUGAUCACAUCACCAAAUUUAAUUAGUUAGUCACUGAUUUGCUGAAUAUGGAUGAGACAUUCAAAGAUGAAGAUUUGGCUUUGAUGCUGUUGGGGUCACUUCCUGAGGAGUUUGAGUUCCUAGAAACUACUCUACUUCAUGGCAGGAGUGAUAUAUCUCUGAGCGAAGUCUGUGCGGCCUUAUACAGUUAUGAACAGAGAAAGAAGGACAAACAGAAAAACUCAAUCAGAGAUACAGAAGCUUUAGUAGUCCGAGGUCGUUCAUACACUCGGAAGAAAACUCAAAAGGGGAGAUCAAAGUCAAAGUCCAGACUCGGGAAAGAUGAAUGUGCUUUUUGUCAUGAGAAAGGCCACUGGAAGAAAAAUUGUCCAAAGCUGAAGAAUAAGGGAAAAGCUGCUGUAGAUGCUUGUGUUGCUAAGCAUGAUACUAGUGACUCUGAACUAUCACUGGUUGCAUCAUCAUCGUCGUUCCAUUCAGAUGAGUGGAUAUUGGAUUCGGGUUGUACCUAUCAUAUGCCCCUAACCGGGAGUGGUUCUCUGAUUUAGUAGAACUAAAUGGAGGAGUUGUUUAUAUGGGCAAUGACAAUGCCUGUAAAACUGUUGGGAUAGGUUCAAUCCAAUUAAAGAAUCAAGAUGGAUCAACCAGAGUUCUGACUGAUGUUCGGUACGUGCCCAGUUUGAAGAAAAAUCUCAUCUCAUUGGGAGCCUUGGAAUCCAAUGGUUCAGUUGUUACUAUGAGAGAUGGGAUUUUGAAAGUGACAUCUGGCGCACUUGUGAUAUUGAAGGGCAUCAGGAAAAAUAACUUGUAUUACUACCAAGGUAGUACAGUUAUUGGAGCAGUCGCUGCAGCUUCCGGCAACAAAGAAUUGGACUCAAUCCAGUUGUGGCAUAUGAAGUUGGGACAUGCCAGCGAAAAAUCCUUGCAAAUUCUGGCAAAGCAAGGAUUGUUGAAAGGUGCAAAGGCUUGCAAAUUAAAAUUUUGCGAGCAUUGUGUUCUGGGAAAGCAAAAGAGAGUGAAAUUCGGUACUGCUAUCCAUAAUACAAAAGGUAUUUUGGAAUAUGUUCACUCAGAUGUGUGGGGGCCUUCCAAGACACCUUCAUUGGGAGGAAAACACUACUUUGUUACUUUUGUUUGAUGACUUUUCCAGAAGAGUUUGGGUGUAUACCAUGAGAACUAAGGAUGAAGUGCUUAGAGUUUUUCUUAAAUGGAAAACUAUGAUCGGAAACCAGACUGGCAAGAAAAUCAAGCGGCUUAGGACGGACAAUGGAGGGGAAUAUAAAAGUGAUCCGUUCUUCGAUCUGUGCCAAGAGUAUGGUAUUGUUCGACACUUCACAGUUAGGGAUACACCACAGCAGAAUGGAUUGGUAGAGCGUAUGAAUCGAACAUUGCUGGAGAAAGUUCGAUGUAUGUUGUCCAAUGCUGGGUUGGGCAAGCAAUUUUGGGCUGAGGCUGUGACAUACACUGGCCAUCUUGUUAAUCAUUUGCCAUCAUCUGCAUUAGAAAGAAAAACUCCUAUGGAGGUAUGGUCUGGAAAAUCGGGUACAGAUUAUGAUUCCUUACAUGUGUUUGGAUCCACUGCAUAUUACCAUGUGAAGGAGUCAAAGUUAGAUCCGAGGGCAAAGAAAGUUCUCUUUAUGGGAAUCACUUCUGGAGUGAAGGGAUUUUGUCUUUGGUGCUUAAGCACAAAGAAAAUGAUCUGUAGCAGAGAUGUUACCUUUGAUGAAUCUGCCACAUUGAAAAAGGUAGCAGAUAAAGAUAUUCAGACGAGCAAUACUCCACAGCAGGUGGAGUGUACUCCAAAACAGGUGGAGUUUGAGCAGAUGGGGAUUUGCCCAGUUAAUAAGUCUAAUUCUCCAGCCACAAUGGAGGAAUUAGAGGUUGAAGAGGUUCUGACCCAAGAACCACUAAGUACACCAGAACCAGUUGCAGUUGCAAGGCCACGGAGAGAAAUUUGUAAACCUGCUCGAUUUACUGAUAUGGUGGCCUACGCCCUUCCCGUUGUUGAUGAUAUUCCUAUCACUUAUCAAGAAGCAAUGCAAAGCUUAGAAAGUGAUAAAUGGAAAAGCGCAAUGGAUGAAGAAAUGCAGUCUCUCCGGAAGAACAAUACUUGGGAGUUGGUGCAAUUACCGAAAGGUAAAAGGGCAAUCGGAUGCAAGUGGGUAUUCGAAAAGAAAGAUGGAUCUCCUAGCAAGAAGGAUAUUCGCUACAAGGCAAGAUUGGUAGCUAAAGGCUACGCUCAGAAGGAGGAAAUUGACUACAAUGAUGUAUUUUCCCCUGUUGUGAAGCAUUCCUCCAUUAGAAUUUUGUUGGCCUUGGUAGCACAGUUGAAUUUGGAGCUAGCUCAACUUGAUGUUAAGACGGCUUUCUUGCAUGGUGAGUUAGAAGAGGAGAUCUAUAUGACUCAGUCCGAAGAAUACACAAAUGCUGGUGGUAGAAAUUGGGUUUGUAAGCUGAACAAAUCGCUAUAUGGAUUGAAGCAAUCCCCGAGGCAGUGGUACAAGCGAUUUGAUAGCUUUAUGAGAAGGCAGAAGUACACAAGAAGCAAAUAUGAAAAUUGUGUAUAUUUGCAGAAGCUGCAUGACGGAUCUUUCAUUUAUCUACUCUUGUAUGUUGAUGAUAUGUUAAUCGCUUCGAAGAGCCAAAAUGAGAUAGAUAAGCUGAAGGCUCAGUUGAAUCAAGAGUUCGAGAUGAAAGAUCUAGGUGAGGCCAAGAAGAUUCUCGGCAUGGAGAUAAGUAGAGAUAGACCGAGAGGCAAGCUCUGUUUAAAUCAGAAGCAAUAUCUGAAAAAGGUAUUACAAUGUUUUGGUGUAAAUGAAAACACAAAACAUGUAAGUACCCCACUUGCUUCUCAUUUGAAACUUAGUGCUCAAUUAUCUCCGAAGACUGAAGAUGAAAGAGAAUAUAUGGCGAAAGUCCCAUAUUCUAAUGCAGUUGGGAGUUUGAUGUAUGCGAUGGUGUGUACGAGGCCUGACAUUUCACAAGCUGUUGGAGUUGUGAGCAGGUAUAUGCAUGAUCCUGGAAAAGGACAUUGGCAAGCUGUGAAAUGGAUUCUACGGUAUCUUCGAAAAACCGUAGAUGUUGGUUUAAUUUUUGAACAGGAUGAAGCACUAUGUCAGUUUGUAGUUGGAUAUGUUGAUUCCGACUUUGCUGGUGAUUUAGAUAAACGUCGUUCAACUACGGGGUAUCUGUUUACUUUUGCAAAAGCCCCAGUGAGUUGGAAGUCUACCUUACAGUCUACAGUAGCUGUGUCUACUACAGAGGCAAAAUAUAUGGCAGUUACAGAAGCUGUUAAAGAGGCUAUUUGGCUUAAUGAAUUAUUGAAAGACUUGGGAGUUGUUCAAAGUCACAUUAGUCUAUAUUGUGACAGUCAGAGUGCUAUUCAUUUAGCGAAAAAUCAAGCCUAUCAUUCAAGAACCAAGCAUAUCGACGUAAGAUAUCACUUUGUGCGGGAAGUCUUUGAAAAAGGAAAAAUUCUACUUCAGAAGAUUCCGACAGCAGAUAAUCCCGCAGAUAUGAUGACCAAGGUGGUAACAACAAUCAAGUUUAAUCAUUGUUUGAACUUGAUUAACAUCCUGAGAAUUUGAGCACCUUCAGGUGUAUGACGCUCGAGAGCGCAUUUGUAGGCACUACAAAAGAUAGCUUUAUCGAAUUUGGGGAGUUGAAGGAAGUGUGUGAAGAUGUGAUUAUCCUAAUCAAAUCUUCAAGGUGGAGAUUGUUAACAUUAAUGGGAGACAACAUUAAUGGCAAACAAUACAAAGUGGUGCAAGUUUAGCACCCUAAAGUUGACUUUGAAAAAGUGGCAUGGGAUAAUUUUUUUUUGGUCCUUGAGAUAAUGGGCUAUUUAUUGUUUGGUCCUUAAACCUCAACUAUAAAUAGGCCUUCUCAUUUCUCAUUUCAAUUCAUCCCAACCAAUCUUUCUCUCUUAGUUUUCUCUCUUCUCCCAUUUGAGAAUUCUUAAGGAAUUCUAUUUGUUUGUAAUACUUUGGAGAUAGUAAAGUUAUCAUCUGGUGUUAGUGCCCGAGGACGUAGGUAUAAUUUACCGAACCUCGUUAAAUCUCUUGUGUUCUUUCUUGUCCUAUUUUUCUUUCAAUAUUUGAGGGUAUAAUAGUAGUAUUUAAUUGUGCUAUUAAAUUACUAUAGAAGGGAUAUUCUGUCUAAGGAAAGACUUGGUAUUUAAGAGAUCCAUGUGAUCCACCUCUCUUCCCUGGGAAUUGAACUUUGUGUGAUUUUUUAGUACAAUAAUUUACACGCUUCCGACUCUAUUGGAACAACAACAACAACAUCCAAAAAAAUUCCAACAAACAAAACACCAACAUCACAAUCAACUAUCAAAUAAACCUCCCACAAAUAUCACAUAAAUCCAUUUUUCUUAUAGCUAUUUAUGCACAUCCUUUACCGAUUGUAGCCAACCAAAAAAUCCUGCAGCAACCAAACAUCAAAUACAACAAUAAUCACACCCUAAGAUUUCCAAGAUGUCAUAGACAAUUCAAUCCCGUACACCCAUCACAAAAAUUCUAUACCAUUCCAUAAACUGCAUAAACGUCCAUAGCAUCUUCCAAUAAUUCCCUUCACACCAUCAAAAUUUCAUAAAAGUUAACAUUCUUUAAACACCUACUUACUCCAAAAAGACCCAAACAACUCCUGAAACACCUUCCCUUAUUAACACCAAAAACUGCACAAGAACUUCAAUCACCCAUUUAUUAACCACUGAGACCUGAUUUCUUCUCACAAACUAAUUUCGAAACAUAGUUACUGAAUCGCUGCUCUCAUUAUUUCAUCAAUUACCUCUUCUUCAUUUCCAUGAACAAUAAAUCCCAAUUUCUUUUCGAGUGCCCAAGUGUUAUUAGCUUCCCUAAGAAUCACCCUCAUUCUAUUACUUAUAUCCGAAUCCGAUAGGGAAAGAUUAACAAUCCUCUAAUCCUCCUUUUGAGACUCCCUUUCUCUUUCCUUCAACUUGACUCUAUUACUUUUCUUCCUAUCUUUAGACGUUAAAAAAAUGCUUUGGAUUUCAUACAUAGAUCGAACCUUCUUAUUCAGACUUUUCUUUUUUUUCCUGCGACUAAUAAUCUGAUUCAAUUCUUCUUCUAAAUCCAAAUUUUCUUCCAACAUUCCAUCUCUAUUUUUUUCAUUUUCCUGAUUUCUAUUGUUACCUUCCUCUGGACCAAUUAAAUCAUCGGGGAUAAAAGUUCCAGCAUUCCUACCAUCCACGUGUGAUCCAUUUUUAAUGCCCCCAUCAUUUGAAACUCCUACAACACGCUCUAUAACAACCAAUCCCAUGUCCCUUAUGUCCUUCAAUGCCCUUUUGUUGAAGUUGGUCAGCAUGAAGCCAACACUCGAUUCCAUACAGGCCAUGAAGACCAAGCAAAGCUGGAACAGAUGCAAGGGCUGCUGAUGCAAGCUCAUUUUGUUCAUUUUGUUAUAUUUAGUUGAUGAAAUGAGUGUUAGUUCAUUUCUAACUAAGUUAGCUUUCUGAUUGAUGUAAUUAGCUUAUGUAUGAGCUGUAAACACAGUUUUGUAUAAGUUUACAAGCUAAGAUUUCAAGUUUCUAUGUAAUUAGUGGAGGUAGGUAAUUACUUGUUGAUUUUGACAAGCCUUAUGCUUGAGUUAUGUACUGGCUUCAAGCCAUUGUUUUAUGUAUGAAUGAAAUCAGUUUUGUUCAUCAAUAUUCUCUCAAAUUUCCCCAGCUUAUUCUCUUCUUUCUUUAACUCGAAAUUGUUUGUUUGCUCAGCAAGUUUCGAGGCUUGCUCGACAAGAUACUUGCUGAGUCUGCUUGAUUCUGUUGUUGCACCAACAAUUGGUAUCUAGAGCCUAUUUCUUAAGGGAUCUGUUACUCAAUUCCAUGGCUUCAUCAAGCUUUUCACCAGCUGCACCUCAAGUCUUCAAUGGAGAAGGCUAUCACAUAUGGGUGGUCAAAAUGAAGACCUACCUGCAGGCUUUCGAUCUGUGGGAGGUGGUCAACUUUGAUGUUGAACCAGAGCCACUUAGAGCUAAUCCAACAGUGGCUCAGAUCAGGCAGCAUGCUGAUGAAAGGACCAAGAGGCACAAAGCUAUGUCUUGCAUCCAAAACUCAGUGUCUGAUGUGAUUUUCACAAGGAUUAUGGCCUGUGAAUCACCAAAACAGGCCUGGGACAAGUUGCAGGAAGAGUUUCAAGGGACAGAGAGGACAAGGCAGCAACAGUUGUUAAACUUGAGGAGAGAUUUCGAGAAUUUGAAGAUGAAGGAAGAAGAAACUGUCAAGCAAUAUUCUGACAGGAUUAUGGCUGUGGUUAACAGCAUCAGGCUCCUUGGAGAGCAGUUCAAUGAAGCUAGGAUAGUGGAGAAGGUUAUAGCAACUCUGCCUGAGAGGUAUGAGGCAAAAAUCUCAUCUCUCGAGGACUCAAGGGAUCUGUCCACCAUCUCCCUGACAGAGUUGAUCAAUGCUCUAUAUGCUCAAGAGCAGAGGAGAGCAAGCAGACUGGAGGAGCACCAAGAAGGUGCCUUUCAGGCAAGAACAAAUACUGCCUACAAAGGCAAGAAGGCCUGGAGAGACAAGCCAAAGAAUGAUGCUGCAAGGAGAGAAGGUCAGACUUGCAAGCACUGUAGAAAGGCUGGUCAUUCAGAAGAAAAAUGCUGGUUCAAUCCAGAUGCUGUGUGUCAGCAUUGUAAGAAGAAGGGUCAUGUUGAGAGAGUCUGUAAGAGUAAGACCAAAUCGAGGCAAAAUCAGUUUCAACAGAUGAAAGCUGAGGCUCGAGUAGCUAAGGAGGACAGUGACCAAGAGGAGCAAGUCUUUGCUGUGUCAUGCUCAGCUGCUCAGGAAAGGCUCUCAUCUGGUUGGCUCCUAGACAGUGGAUGCACCAACCACAUGACACCUGAUGCUGCAAUCUUUAAGUCUUUAGACAGAAGCUGCAGAACUAAAGUCAAGAUAGGAAAUGGUCAUUUUAUUCAAGCUGAAGGCAAGGGUGAUGUGCUGAUAUGCACCAUUACAGGUACCAAAGUGAUUUCAAAUGUGCUGUUGGUGCCUGAAAUUGACAGAAACCUCCUCAGCAUAGCUCAGUUGCUUGAAAAAGGUUAUUCAGUUGUGUUUAAAGACCACCAGUGCCAAAUCAGUGAUCUAAGUGGAUCCAAACUGAUGGCAGUCCCUAUGGCUGAUAAGAGCUUUGUGGUUGACUGGACAAAAAAGUCAGACAUUGCCUACACAGCCACUUCAGAUGAAUCCAAGCUGUGGCAUCAAAGACUGGGACAUGCCAACUUCAGAUCGAUGGCUCGAAUGGUCAGAGAGGACCUGGCUGAAAAUUUCAUCAACUCAGUGGACCAUGAUGAUGUAUGUGAUGUAUGUCAGCUAGGAAAGCAGGCCAGACUCCCUUUUCCCUCGAAUCAAGCCUGGAGAGCCUCUGAAAAACUCUAACUGGUGCAUACUGAUGUGUGUGGCCCUAUGAAGACUGAGUCAUUAAGUGGAAACAGGUAUUUCAUACUGUUCAUUGAUGAUUUCUCGAGAUAUUGCUGGAUUUACUUUUUAAAACAGAAAUCAGAAGUGGCCUCAGUGUUUUGGAAGUUCAAGACUGCUUCUGAGACUGAAACAGGCUGCAAGCUGAAGACCAUAAGGUCUGAUAAUGGGACUGAGUACACCUCAGCUCAGUUCCAAGCCUUCUGUGAUAAGGCAGGCAUCAAACAUCAACUUACCAACACAUAUACACCUCAGCAGAAUGGGGUAAGUGAAAGGAAGAAUAGGAGUUUGAUGGAUAUGGCCAGGUGCUUGAUGAUUCAGAAAAAUCUGCCUAAAGCACUAUGGGCAGAAGUAGUUAACACUGCAACAUACAUUCAAAAUAGACUUCCAACCAAGGCUUUGGAUCAAAAGACCCCAUUCGAGGCCUGGUUUAGCUUCAAGCCAUCAUUGGCUCAUCUGAAGGUCUUUGGAUGCAUCUGUUAUACACAUGUACCUGCUGUUAAAAGGGACAAAUUGUCUGAAAGGGCUCAACCUGGUGUUUCGGUGGGGUAUAGCACUGUUAAGAAGGGCUAUAGGAUUUUAGAUCCUUCAACAAACAAAGUGUCAAUAAGCAGGGAUGUGGUAUUUGAUGAGAGGUCAUGUUGGAACUGGGAAAGACAUGAACCUGAAGAAGUUUCUGAAGAACUUGCAGUAGACCAAGCUGAGCCAGACCAAAAUGUCCCUGAAAUGGAUAUUGAUGAUGAACCAGUCAGAGGAACAAGGUCAUUGGCUGAGGUUUAUGAAAGGGCUUAUGUAGCCAUAGCUGAACCAAGCAACUUUGAAGAGGCUGAGGCUCAACAAGGGUGGAAGCAGGCAAUGGCUGAGGAGAUCAGCAUGAUUGAGAAGAACCAGACCUGGAAAUUGGUUGAAAGGCCAGUCAAAAGGAAGGUGAUUGGGGUGAAAUGGGUGUACAAAGCCAAGCAGAAUGCUGAUGGUACCUUGAACAAGCUAAAAGCAAGGCUAGUGGUCAAGGGGUUCAGUCAGAGGUAUGGCUUGGACUACUUGGAGACCUUUGCACCAGUGGCCAGGCUCGACACCAUCAGACUGCUGAUUGCCUUAGCAGCACAGCUCGAAUGGAAGAUCCAUCAACUUGAUGUGAAAUCAGCCUUUCUGAAUGGUUUCUUAGAUGAAGACAUCUAUGUUGAACAACCACAAGGGUUUGAAAUAGCUGGCAGAGAGCAUAUGGUCUACAAAUUGAAGAAGGCCCUAUAUGGCUUAAAACAGGCUCCAAGGGCCUGGUACAGCAGAAUCGAUGGCUACUUGACUGAUCUGGGAUUCAAUCGAAGCAAGAGUGAGCCAACACUGUAUGUCAAGAAGCAAGGGACACAAACACAACUCAUUGUGUCCCUAUAUGUUGAUGACCUGCUGGUGACAGGAGGAGAUCAAGCAGUGCUGGUUAAUUUCAAGACCAAGAUGCAAGAGGUGUUUGAAAUGUCUGAUCUUGGGGAGAUGUCCUAUUUUCUUGGAAUGGAGGUGACUCAAGCACAGAAUGGGAUAUUUUUAAGUCAGAAGAGC
rnacentral:lncRNA from 1 species